rnacentral:rRNA from 1 species
CCUACGGGUGGCAGCAGUGGGGGAUAUUGCACAAUGGGGGGAACCCUGAUGCAGCGACGCCGCGUGGGCGAUGGAGUGCUUCGGCAUGUAAAGCCCUAUCAGCAGGGAAGAAAAUGACGGUACCUGACUAAGAAGCCCCGGCUAAAUACGGGCCAGCAGCCGCGGGAAUACGUAUGGGGCAAGCGUGCACCGGAUUUAAUGGGUGGAAAGGGAGCGUAGGCGGCCUGGCAAGACUGAUGUGAAAUACCGGGGCCCAACCCCCGGGCUGCAUUGGGAACUUCCAGGCGGGAGUGCCGGAGAGGCAGGCCGAAUUCCUAGUGUAGCGGUUAAAUGCGUUGAUAUUAGGAGGAACACCAGUGGCGAAGGCAGCCUGCUGGACGGUGACUGACGCUGAGGCUCGAAAGCGUGGGGAGCAAACAGGAUUAGAUACCCUGGUAGUC